CAAAGGUACAUCAUUGACUAGAAUGCAAUCAAUGCAUUAACAAAUGUGUCACGUUGAGAAUUAGUCAUAAUAUAAUAAUCUACAUCUAAAAUGUACAAAGUGAGCUGUGCAUCUACUCACAAGUACUGGACCUGACGGUGAUGAGGAACCGAGAGGCGCCGGUGCCAUACUGUUGACUUGACUAGCAGAUUCACCGGCUAUCAUACUAUCCUGGAGUUCCUGAAGACGAGCACGCUCUGGUGAACUCAACCUAAAGAUGCACGACUUAGAUCGGGUCCGGAUAAUUAUUCCUCUGGGCUGCAAGUAACACUCCUGUAUCUUCUGUGCCCUUCUUAACUUGCUAGUGGUUGUCUUUUAGAAGCGAUUAGACAUGGAUUAUCAAAUGUACGCUAUCGAACGAAAACAGCAAAACUGCAGGAGGUGGAUCAGGGUCUACACUAAGGGCAGAACAGACAAACCUGGGCUACCUGCUUCAGACGAACGUCGUAACACCAGUUCGUAAACGCCACUGAGUCGAUUGGCUUCCUGAUUGCGAUAGUGACCGCUGAACAAAUGCUUCAGCGAUCGAGGACCCACUCUCGCAUCUCGUCCAUAAAUUAUCAUACUGAGAUCCUUUGUUAUGAUAGCUGGUCUGCCGCAAUUUUCAAGCUGUGGAAAAAUCCAGAUAAGUAAACAGGUUCUGGGGUAUUACGAAUGCGUCCGACAACAAGUUCUCUAACAUCUUUCCAUCGAAGUUCUGACGCAUGCUCAUGCACGAUCGUAAUGCGAAUACGCCGCUGUAUCCCUUGAUGAAGAAGAAAUAAUCCACGGCAAGAUUUCGAACCACACAAGGACGUCAUAUUUGGCGUGAACGUGUGACGUACUAGGUGAAGGUAGAACACUACCAAACUUUGGUGAUCGAACUGGCUGACUUAUGGGGAUUGAAGGUGGAAGCAUCCUUUUUGGUGGCUGCCUGGCACUGCUGUAUUAAUAAAUGUGGAUGCUGUUGGUAGUGGCCAAAUACUUCGAACACAAUGGGCUGAGUUUUGAGAUAUUCCAGAAACGAUUUCGUAACUGUCACAGUUAUCUGGUGCAACAGAUUGAUAGUUUGAAAUUUAUGUAACAAUUACAAACCAUCAAAAUUGCAUCUUAUCUGUUGAAUAAUUUACUCACAUUUUGUACAUGGUAAAAGCCUAGUGGAGGGUUUCCUUUACCGGCAUUCUUAACGGGUUCUGUUGAAAAUGCUUCAUCGUGUCGGUGCAGAAAACUGAAAGUACAAGGUUGUAAUGCAGUUCGUUUGUUUGUAACCGUCACUUUUUUUAUUAUCAAAAUCCGAUGGACUUACUUAAAUUGACAAAAGAUA